GUUAAGCGACUAAGCGUACACGGUGGAUGCCCUGGCAGUCAGAGGCGAUGAAGGACGUGCUAAUCUGCGAUAAGCGUCGGUAAGGUGAUAUGAACCGUUAUAACCGGCGAUUUCCGAAUGGGGAAACCCAGUGUGUUUCGACACACUAUCAUUAACUGAAUCCAUAGGUUAAUGAGGCGAACCGGGGGAACUGAAACAUCUAAGUACCCCGAGGAAAAGAAAUCAACCGAGAUUCCCCCAGUAGCGGCGAGCGAACGGGGAGCAGCCCAGAGCCUGAAUCAGUGUGUGUGUUAGUGGAAGCGUCUGGAAAGGCGCGCGAUACAGGGUGACAGCCCCGUACACAAAAAUGCACAUGCUGUGAGCUCGAUGAGUAGGGCGGGACACGUGGUAUCCUGUCUGAAUAUGGGGGGACCAUCCUCCAAGGCUAAAUACUCCUGACUGACCGAUAGUGAACCAGUACCGUGAGGGAAAGGCGAAAAGAACCCCGGCGAGGGGAGUGAAAAAGAACCUGAAACCGUGUACGUACAAGCAGUGGGAGCACGCUUAGGCGUGUGACUGCGUACCUUUUGUAUAAUGGGUCAGCGACUUAUAUUCUGUAGCAAGGUUAACCGAAUAGGGGAGCCGAAGGGAAACCGAGUCUUAACUGGGCGUUAAGUUGCAGGGUAUAGACCCGAAACCCGGUGAUCUAGCCAUGGGCAGGUUGAAGGUUGGGUAACACUAACUGGAGGACCGAACCGACUAAUGUUGAAAAAUUAGCGGAUGACUUGUGGCUGGGGGUGAAAGGCCAAUCAAACCGGGAGAUAGCUGGUUCUCCCCGAAAGCUAUUUAGGUAGCGCCUCGUGAAUUCAUCUCCGGGGGUAGAGCACUGUUUCGGCAAGGGGGUCAUCCCGACUUACCAACCCGAUGCAAACUGCGAAUACCGGAGAAUGUUAUCACGGGAGACACACGGCGGGUGCUAACGUCCGUCGUGAAGAGGGAAACAACCCAGACCGCCAGCUAAGGUCCCAAAGUCAUGGUUAAGUGGGAAACGAUGUGGGAAGGCCCAGACAGCCAGGAUGUUGGCUUAGAAGCAGCCAUCAUUUAAAGAAAGCGUAAUAGCUCACUGGUCGAGUCGGCCUGCGCGGAAGAUGUAACGGGGCUAAACCAUGCACCGAAGCUGCGGCAGCGACGCUUAUGCGUUGUUGGGUAGGGGAGCGUUCUGUAAGCCUGUGAAGGUGUGCUGUGAGGCAUGCUGGAGGUAUCAGAAGUGCGAAUGCUGACAUAAGUAACGAUAAAGCGGGUGAAAAGCCCGCUCGCCGGAAGACCAAGGGUUCCUGUCCAACGUUAAUCGGGGCAGGGUGAGUCGACCCCUAAGGCGAGGCCGAAAGGCGUAGUCGAUGGGAAACAGGUUAAUAUUCCUGUACUUGGUGUUACUGCGAAGGGGGGACGGAGAAGGCUAUGUUGACCGGGCGACGGUUGUCCCGGUUUAAGCGUGUAGGCUGGUUUUCCAGGCAAAUCCGGAAAAUCAAGGCUGAGGCGUGAUGACGAGGCACUACGGUGCUGAAGCAACAAAUGCCCUGCUUCCAGGAAAAGCCUCUAAGCAUCAGGUAACAUCAAAUCGUACCCCAAACCGACACAGGUGGUCAGGUAGAGAAUACCAAGGCGCUUGAGAGAACUCGGGUGAAGGAACUAGGCAAAAUGGUGCCGUAACUUCGGGAGAAGGCACGCUGAUAUGUAGGUGAAGUCCCUCGCGGAUGGAGCUGAAAUCAGUCGAAGAUACCAGCUGGCUGCAACUGUUUAUUAAAAACACAGCACUGUGCAAACACGAAAGUGGACGUAUACGGUGUGACGCCUGCCCGGUGCCGGAAGGUUAAUUGAUGGGGUCAGCGCAAGCGAAGCUCUUGAUCGAAGCCCCGGUAAACGGCGGCCGUAACUAUAACGGUCCUAAGGUAGCGAAAUUCCUUGUCGGGUAAGUUCCGACCUGCACGAAUGGCGUAAUGAUGGCCAGGCUGUCUCCACCCGAGACUCAGUGAAAUUGAACUCGCUGUGAAGAUGCAGUGUACCCGCGGCAAGACGGAAAGACCCCGUGAACCUUUACUAUAGCUUGACACUGAACAUUGAGCCUUGAUGUGUAGGAUAGGUGGGAGGCUUAGAAGUGUGGACGCCAGUCUGCAUGGAGCCGACCUUGAAAUACCACCCUUUAAUGUUUGAUGUUCUAACGUUGACCCGUAAUCCGGGUUGCGGACAGUGUCUGGUGGGUAGUUUGACUGGGGCGGUCUCCUCCUAAAGAGUAACGGAGGAGCACGAAGGUUGGCUAAUCCUGGUCGGACAUCAGGAGGUUAGUGCAAUGGCAUAAGCCAGCUUGACUGCGAGCGUGACGGCGCGAGCAGGUGCGAAAGCAGGUCAUAGUGAUCCGGUGGUUCUGAAUGGAAGGGCCAUCGCUCAACGGAUAAAAGGUACUCCGGGGAUAACAGGCUGAUACCGCCCAAGAGUUCAUAUCGACGGCGGUGUUUGGCACCUCGAUGUCGGCUCAUCACAUCCUGGGGCUGAAGUAGGUCCCAAGGGUAUGGCUGUUCGCCAUUUAAAGUGGUACGCGAGCUGGGUUUAGAACGUCGUGAGACAGUUCGGUCCCUAUCUGCCGUGGGCGCUGGAGAACUGAGGGGGGCUGCUCCUAGUACGAGAGGACCGGAGUGGACGCAUCACUGGUGUU
rnacentral:rRNA from 1 species